UACGAAGGGGGCUAGCGUUGCUCGGAAUCACUGGGCGUAAAGCGCACGUAGGCGGAUUGCUAAGUCAGUGGUGAAAUCUCCGGGCUUAACCCGGAAACUGCCAUUGAUACUAUCUGUCUUGAAUACCGUGGAGGUGAGCGGAAUAUGUCAUGUAGCGGUGAAAUGCUUAGAUAUGACAUGGAACACCAAUUGCGAAGGCAGCUCACUACACGAAUAUUGACACUGAGGCACGAAAGCGUGGGGAUCAAACAGG
rnacentral:rRNA from 1 species